CCAGAAGCGCUGCGCCGUUCCGUCCUCCCCCUGUCCCUGCAGGCCGACCUCGGCCUACUGCAACUAUCAGCUGACAGGCUCCUCUCCCUGGCGCUCCAUGUACCCUCCUGCCUGGCGCUUUCCCCGCGCCGUUCCCUGCUGACUCCAGGUCUGGGGUUGUGUAUAACGCCUGGGCGCCCCUGGGAGGUGCACCUGCGGUCCCCCCGUAUCCUCCUAACCCCAGCG